GGCGAGAGUAUUUAGGCACUGGUGCAGUAAAGUUUAAGAGAACUACCGAGAAGCCACGUCUUUAUUGUUACACUUGACCUUUGGAAAUCGGAAGACGGCAGACGGAGUCUUGUUCAUCGACAGUACCGACUAUCAGUGUAAGCGUUUGAAAACAAAGAAUGGCCAAAAAGGGGAUUGUAUCGACUGCAAAACAAAUCAUGAAGUCUAUCAAAAAAUGGAUCAUAGGAACUGAUCAUAAGAAGGAAGAGCAGGCAUGCAAUAUGGGCAUUGCCGUAACCGAUUAUAAAAUGCGCUGCCACUCCUGUGACACAAUUAUCAAAUUGCCGAUUGACAUGUAUUUCUUACCGGGAGAAAAUGACGGGGAAUACAUCUUGAGAGUAGCACCAAUGGCACUCACCGACACAGCCAAGCCGAUGGACAUUCUGUGCACUACUGACCAGGUGAAAUACAAAAAACUGGUCACUAAAAACAAAUUCGGAUCAAAAGGCCCAAAGCCCAUGUGCAUGUGGUACACACAAUGUCUAGAGCCAACAUAUCCAUUUCCCUGAAUUUUCCUUCUUUCUUGCUAGUUUUUCUCGUUUUCGACUUCUAAUAUUCUCCAAAAAAAAAAAAACAAUGUUUUUAUGUAACGCGAUACAAUAGCAAUAUACAUUAUCUACUCUACAGUACGCAGCACAUGUCCUUUCCCAAGCACCUAGUACGCUUAGUCUGGCACGUGAAUUACAUCAGUGCAAAGCUAUUGUUAUUUAAUUAGGUUCACGCAUCAAGUAUAGCUUUAACAAUAUUGUUUUAAGUAUAGUAUGUGAUUUUAAUGGUCCCCCCACGUGCAGCAAUUAUCUAUACUUCAUCCGACAAGAGAACAGAUACCAUAACGCGUUCCUUUCUAAUUGCGCGGGUGCAUAUUAUGACAGUAAGGGAUUUUGGUUUCUCCGCAAGUGCGCUCUCUCGCCGUCCAGAGUAUAAAAUGAUAGAUUGUCAAAUAUAUUAUUAUAACUAAACGUUUUAAACAAGCUGUGGCUAUCAUGGUUCGUGAAUAUCUCACUUGGAUAUCACGGCGACAACCUGUCAAUAAAAUGUUGGUUAUUUCAACCACUCAAGUCAUUUUCCUAUUAAUAUGACUCUCUACAAACUUAUUUUGCA